GACGAACGCUGGCGGCGUGCUUAACACAUGCAAGUCGAGCGGAGCGGCGAACGGGUGAGUAACGCGUGAGUAACUGCCCCCCUCUCUGGGAUAACAGUUGGAAACGGCUGCUAAUACCGGAUAGUGGGGGAUGACUCGCGUCCUAUCAGCUUGUUGGGUGGGUAGUGGCCUACCAAGGCGACGACGGGUAGCCGGCCUGUGAGGGCGACCGGCCACAUUGGGCUGGGAUACGGCCCAAACUCGUGCGGGAGGCAGCAGUGGUGAAUAUUGCGCAAUGGGGGAAACCCUGAGGCAGCGAGGCCGCGUGCGGGAUGACGGCCUUCGGGUUGUAAAAAGCUUUUGUAUAGGAAGCAGUACUAUACGAAUAAGGACCGGCUAAUUACGUGCCAGCAGCCGCGGUAAUUC
rnacentral:rRNA from 1 species